rnacentral:rRNA from 1 species
AGAGUUUGAUCUUGGCUCAGGACGAACGCUGGCGGCGCGCCUAACACAUGCAAGUCGAACGAGCGAGAGAGAGCUUGCUUUCUCGAGCGAGUGGCGAACGGGUGAGUAACGCGUGAGGAACCUGCCUCAAAGAGGGGGACAACAGUUGGAAACGACUGCUAAUACCGCAUAAGCCCACGACCCGGCAUCGGGUAGAGGGAAAAGGAGCAAUCCGCUGAUAGAUGGGCUUGCGUCUGAUUAGAUAGUUGGUGGGGUAACGGCCUACCAAGUCGACGAUCAGUAGCCGGACUGAGAGGUUGAACGGCCACAUUGGGACUGAGAUACGGCCCAGACUCCUACGGGAGGCAGCAGUCGGGAAUAUUGCGCAAUGGAGGAAACUCUGACGCAGUGACGCCGCGUGCAGGAAGAAGGUUUUCGGAUUGUAAACUGCUUUAGACAGGGAAGAAAAAGGACAGUACCUGUAGAAUAAGCUCCGGCUAACUACGUGCCAGCAGCCGCGGUAAUACGUAGGGAGCAAGCGUUAUCCGGAUUUAUUGGGUGUAAAGGGUGCGUAGACGGGAAUACAAGUUAGUUGUGAAAUCCCUCGGCUUAACUGAGGAACUGCAACUAAAACUAUAUUUCUUGAGUGCUGGAGAGGAAAGUGGAAUUCCUAGUGUAGCGGUGAAAUGCGUAGAUAUUAGGAGGAACACCAGUGGCGAAGGCGACUUUCUGGACAGUAACUGACGUUGAGGCACGAAAGUGUGGGGAGCAAACAGGAUUAGAUACCCUGGUAGUCCACACCGUAAACGAUGAAUACUAGGUGUGCGGGGAGUGACCCCCUGCGUGCCGCAGUUAACACAAUAAGUAUUCCACCUGGGGAGUACGAUCGCAAGGUUGAAACUCAAAGGAAUUGACGGGGGCCCGCACAAGCGGUGGAUUAUGUGGUUUAAUUUGAAGCAACGCGAAGAACCUUACCAGGGUUUGACAUCCUGCUAACGAAGUAGAGAUACAUUAGGUGCCCUUCGGGGAAAGCAGAGACAGGUGGUGCAUGGUUGUCGUCAGCUCGUGUCGUGAGAUGUUGGGUUAAGUCCCGCAACGAGCGCAACCCCUAUUGUUAGUUGCUACGCAAGAGCACUCUAGCGAGACUGCCGUUGACAAAACGGAGGAAGGUGGGGAGGACGUCAAAUCAUCAUGCCCCUUAUAUCCUGGGCUACACACGUAAUACAAUGGCGGUCAACAGAGGGAUGCAAAGCCGCGAGGCAGAGCGAACCCCUAAAAGCCGUCCCAGUUCGGAUCGUGGGCUGCAACCCGCCCACGUGAAGUCGGAAUCGCUAGUAAUCGCGGAUCAGCAUGCCGCGGUGAAUAAGUUCCCGGGCCUUGUACU